rnacentral:tRNA from 1 species
ACUUAAAUAAUUUAAAUAAAAUAUUGAUUUGUGGAGUCAAAAAUAUGAUAAAAUCAUUUUAGGUU